rnacentral:rRNA from 1 species
GACGAACGCUGGCGGCGUGCCUAAUACAUGCAAGUAGAACGCUGAAGAGAGGAGCUUGCUCUUCUUGGAUGAGUUGCGAACGGGUGAGUAACGCGUAGGUAACCUGCCUUGUAGCGGGGGAUAACUAUUGGAAACGAUAGCUAAUACCGCAUAACAAUGGAUGACACAUGUCAUUUAUUUGAAAGGGGCAAAUGCUCCACUACAAGAUGGACCUGCGUUGUAUUAGCUAGUAGGUGAGGUAACGGCUCACCUAGGCGACGAUACAUAGCCGACCUGAGAGGGUGAUCGGCCACACUGGGACUGAGACACGGCCCAGACUCCUACGGGAGGCAGCAGUAGGGAAUCUUCGGCAAUGGGGGCAACCCUGACCGAGCAACGCCGCGUGAGUGAAGAAGGUUUUCGGAUCGUAAAGCUCUGUUGUAAGUCAAGAACGAGUGUGAGAGUGGAAAGUUCACACUGUGACGGUAGCUUACCAGAAAGGGACGGCUAACUACGUGCCAGUAGCCGCGGUAAUACGUAGGUCCCGAGCGUUGUCCGGAUUUAUUGGGCGUAAAGCGAGCGCAGGCGGUUUGAUAAGUCUGAAGUUAAAGGCUGUGGCUCAACCAUAGUUCGCUUUGGAAACUGUCAAACUUGAGUGCAGAAGGGGAGAGUGGAAUUCCAUGUGUAGCGGUGAAAUGCGUAGAUAUAUGGAGGAACACCGGUGGCGAAAGCGGCUCUCUGGUCUGUAACUGACGCUGAGGCUCGAAAGCGUGGGGAGCGAACAGGAUUAGAUACCCUGGUAGUCCACGCCGUAAACGAUGAGUGCUAGGUGUUGGAUCCUUUCCGGGAUUCAGUGCCGCAGCUAACGCAUUAAGCACUCCGCCUGGGGAGUACGACCGCAAGGUUGAAACUCAAAGGAAUUGACGGGGGCCCGCACAAGCGGUGGAGCAUGUGGUUUAAUUCUAAGCAACGCGAAGAACCUUACCAGGUCUUGACAUCCCGAUGCUAUUUCUAGAGAUAGAAAGUUACUUCGGUACAUCGGUGACAGGUGGUGCAUGGUUGUCGUCAGCUCGUGUCGUGAGAUGUUGGGUUAAGUCCCGCAACGAGCGCAACCCCUAUUGUUAGUUGCCAUCAUUCAGUUGGGCACUCUAGCGAGACUGCCGGUAAUAAACCGGAGGAAGGUGGGGAUGACGUCAAAUCAUCAUGCCCCUUAUGACCUGGGCUACACACGUGCUACAAUGGUUGGUCCAACGAGUUGCGAGUCGGUGACGGCAAGCUAAUCUCUCAAAGCCAAUCUCAGUUCGGAUUGUAGGCUGCAACUCGCCUACAUGAAGUCGGAAUCGCUAGUAAUCGCGGAUCAGCACGCCGCGGUGAAUACGUUCCCGGCCCU